rnacentral:rRNA from 1 species
UCCUUAGGACGGGGAUAAACCCGGGAAACUGGGUAUAAUACCCGAUAGUCCUCGGCUGCUGGAAUGCACCGAGUACUAAAGCUCCGGCGCCUAAGGAUGGGUCUGCGGCCUAUCAGGUAGUAGUGGGUGUAGCGUACCUACUAGCCUACGACGGGUACGGGUUGUGAGAGCAAGAGCCCGGAGAUGGAUUCUGAGACACGAAUCCAGGCCCUACGGGGUGCAGCAGGCGCGAAAACUUUACAAUGCUGGCAACAGCGAUAAGGGAACCUCGAGUGCCAGGUUACAAAUCUGGCUGUCGAGAUGCCUAAAAAGCAUUUCAUAGCAAGGGCCGGGCAAGACCGGUGCCAGCCGCCGCGGUAACACCGGCGGCUCGAGUGGUAACCGUUAUUAUUGGGUCUAAAGGGUCUGUAGCCGGCCGGAUAAGUCUCUUGAGAAAUCUGGCAGCUUAACUGUCAGGCUUUCAGGAGAUACUGUCUGGCUCGAGGCCGGGAGAGGUGAGAGGUACUUCAGGGGUAGGGGCGAAAUCUUGUAAUCCUUGAAGGACCACCAGUGGCGAAGGCGUCUCACCAGAACGGACCUGACGGCAAGGGACGAAAGCUAGGGGCACGAACCGGAUUAGAUACCCGGGUAGUCCUAGCCGUAAACGAUACUCGCUAGGUGUCGGCCACGGUGCGACCGUUGUCGGUGCCGUAGGGAAGCCGUGAAGCGAGCCACCUGGGAAGUACGGCCGCAAGGCUGAAACUUAAAGGAAUUGGCGGGGGAGA